UGGUGUGAGAGUGGUGCGCAACGGUUUGCUGUUGUCCUGCAAAGAGCUUUCCAAAUAAGAUGAGCCGCGAGUGUUUUUAAAGGCCUACCAGGCUCUGUCUUUAUAUGAACGAUUUUAGUUAAAUAUUCAGUAUACUUAUUUUCCAAAUAUAACUCAACCUUUCAUGAGAUACUAGCUUUGGACACCGGGAUUCUCAUCUGGGGGUUUGAAGAGAGGUCAUGACUUCAUUUACUGAGAGGUCACCACAACUGCCAUGCAACACAUCAUUAGCAUGAACCCAAAACCUCUUAAAAUUGGCUAAAGUGACGUCAUAAGUUGAAAUUUCAAUGAAUUCCCCGUUUGUUUCUCAAAAUGGUUAUGAAAAAUUGCAGUUCAUUACAAAAUAAUGACAUCUGUACCUCAGGUGUGCAGAGGUAUGCCAUCCCAAUACCAGACACGCGAAUUCUGAGUACCUCCAGAUUACGUUUUGUAAAUAUUGAUACAGGUCUACUAAGAGCGUUCUUAUUACGUCUUAUGAAUAUUUACACAGGAAUAAUUAAGUGUUGUUUUUAUAAAGCAUACACAGGCAGGUAAACACACGAGAGGUGAAGGCGCGUUCCUAACAAAGACCCAACUCCUUCAGCUGGCUUGUCGCCAUCACGCUUCACUUCCACAAGCCUCAAGCUCAUUAACCAAAGAUGCCGAACUACAACAAUCCGAAACCCAGCCCCCUGUCUCCAUAAGCUCCAGCCCUUUGUCCGACUCUGUUCUACAAGUCGCUUAGUCAGUCCAAGACUUGUUCGUUAUCUCUCUCUCCACUCCCUUCUCCCCCUGGUCGGGAGGAUAUCGGCAGGCCUUGUCAGUUAGGCCAUCUGACUGGGAAACGUGUCUCGUGUCUGACCUUUUCGCGAAAGUUCUUUGAUUUUAUUUAGGCUUCGCAUUAAGUGAGUCCAGCCCCAGCUUAGCUUCGAAACCUCCGUCACAGUCCAAAUCUCUUAGAAGCUGCGUGUGGGCUGAGGUCCGAAAAAAAGCGAUAGGAAAUGGAGGGGGAGUGGGUUGUCUCAAAGUCUCACUCGUAUGAUCUCUUUACAAACUCCAUUUCCCUUAACUCUAAUUGACGCUUCUUUUUAUCUCAUAACAGAGGUGCAGAGAGCGGGAUUAUCGGUGUUUUACGCCGUCAGUAGCCCAGGAUUUCACGGCUCUGACAGCCAGGUAAAGACGUGCGACGUCAGGCCGUCUGCCGGAGGAGAGAUGUGAACCAACCACCCGGGGUAUGUCUGCUGAUAGACUGCACCACGGCAGACGUCCUGGAUCAUCACUACCUCGUUUGCAAGAAUGGAUGCCGCUUGACGAAGCUGCUUGAGCAAUUUUAUGAAGAGGGGAAAAAAUGCGUCGAUGAAAUAAGGCAGUGACUGACAUUGAACCGCGAUCACGUCGAUCCGAGGUGCGAGGGUCAAAGGUCAAGGGCCGCGACGAGAACCUCGUUGCUGUUUGAGAACAGAUGACGUACGAGGCAGCAGGGAGGGAGGCGGGGACCACGAGCUGCAGCUUAUCAUGAUGAUUCAGAAGCAGUACUGCCAUGAAGGGCAAAAAAAGUUCGGCACGUGUGAGAUAAGCCAGUGAAGCCAGUCAAUGGUACAGCGGUACAACUCGCCCAGCAAGGGCACUACGCCAGAUGACAACUUUCUCGAUGUACAUGCAUGUGGUGGCGGUGGUUGGUGCAGUUAUUCAUUCACAACUUGGCUGCAGGGAAAAGAACAAGAAAAGGAAAACCGGCCUUUUAUGGGACAACUUUUCUCAGUUUGAUCGUAUGAACGAUUUUUUUUGUUAUAAGGAGUAAGGUAGCAUUCUCAGAUCGUUGUGAACAGUGAUUCUGACAUUAAGAGGCCAGCCAGGAUGACAGACCCGGAUUAAAAUUCCCGACCACGUACCAGGGCGACACAGAAAAGGCGACUAAUAAGCACGACAGCAGAGAGUUACGGAGGCAUUUUAUCGUCAAAAGUUAGGGGGACAGGAGGUCACGUGUUUAUGGCCCCCUUGUGAAGCUACCUCAAAAUAUCAAUUGGAUCUUGAGUCUCUCUCUGUGUGUGCGUGCACUUGUGAGUCCUGCAGUGUAGGUACCUAGCUGUUUGUGUGACUUGUCUGUCACGACUGUCACGUGCAGUAAUAGUAAUACCACAGUGUCUGGCAGUUAUGGCAUGUUGGGUUUUGUCGUGAAAGGAGAUUGUCACGUCACGCAGUACUAUAUGCCACAGUGUAUCAAUCGUACCGGAUAAUGAUAAUCUUAUCACAUAACUUUACGUAA